GAUGAAGAACGUAGCGAAAUGCGAUAAGUAGUGUGAAUUGCAGAAUUCAGUGAAUCAUCGAAUCUUUGAACGCACAUUGCGCCCCUUGGUAUUCCAUGGGGCAUGCCUGUUCGAGCGUCAUUUGUACCUUCAAGCUUUGCUUGGUGUUGGGUGUUUGUCUCGCCUUUGCGUGUAGACUCGCCUUAAAAUAAUUGGCAGCCGGCGUAUUGAUUUCGGAGCGAAGUACAUCUCGCGCUUUGCACUCAUAACGACAGCGUCCAAAAGUACAUUUUACACUCUUGACCUCGGAUCAGGUAGGGAUACCCGCUGAACUUAAGCAUAUCAAUAAGCUGAGGA
rnacentral:misc_RNA from 1 species